rnacentral:rRNA from 1 species
GUCUACGGCCAUACUACCCUGAACAAGCCCGAUCCCGUCUGAUCUCGGGAGCUAAGCGGGGUCGGGCCUGGUUAGUACUUGGAUGGGAGACCGCCUAGGAAGACCAGGUGCUGUAGGCG